rnacentral:rRNA from 1 species
GAUGAACGCUGGCGGCGUGCCUAAUACAUGCAAGUCGAGCGAACAGACGAGGAGCUUGCUCCUCUGACGUUAGCGGCGGACGGGUGAGUAACACGUGGAUAACCUACCUAUAAGACUGGGAUAACUUCGGGAAACCGGAGCUAAUACCGGAUAAUAUAUUGAACCGCAUGGUUCAAUAGUGAAAGACGACUUUGCUGUUACUUAUAGAUGGAUCCGCGCCGCAUUAGCUAGUUGGUAAGGUAACGGCUUACCAAGGCAACGAUGCGUAGCCGACCUGAGAGGGGGAUCGGCCACACUGGAACUGAGACACGGUCCAGACUCCUACGGGAGGCAGCAGUAGGGAAUCUUCCGCAAUGGGCGAAAGCCUGACGGAGCAACGCCGCGUGAGUGAUGAAGUUCUUCGGAUCGUAAAACUCUGUUAUUAGGGAAGAACAAAUGUGUAAGUAACUAUGCACGUCUUGACGGUACCUAAUCAGAAAGCCACGGCUAACUACGUG